UACGGGGGGGGCAAGCGUUGUUCGGAAUUACUGGGCGUAAAGGGCUCGUAGGCGGCCAACUAAGUCGGAUGUGAAAUCCCCAGGCUUAACCUGGGAACUGCAUCCGAUACUGGAUGGCUUGAAUUCGGGAGAGGGAUGCAGAAUUCCAGGUGUAGCGGUGAAAUGCGUAGAUAUCUGGAGGAAUACCGGUGGCGAAGGCGGCAUCCUGGACCGAGAUUGACGCUGAUGAGCGAAAGCUAGGGGAGCAAACGGG
rnacentral:rRNA from 3 species